GGUGAUGGUGCAUUACUGUAAUCCCUACCACUGGAGAGAUUGAGGCUGGUGGAUUGCUUGAGCUCAGUAAUUCUAAAUUGUAGUAACUCUAAGUCAAUUAGGUGUUUUCACUAAGUCUGGCACCAAUAGGGUGAGCACCCAGGAGUGAAGGGGCCACCAGGCUGCCCAUGGAGGGGCAACUGUCCUAGGUCAGAAAUGGAGCAGACCAAAAUUCCUGUGCCGAUCAGCAGUGGAAUAAACUCCCGUGAAGGGCUGCUGUCCUUCCAGCAUGCAUGAGAUGAGGAGACCCAGUCUUAA
rnacentral:SRP_RNA from 1 species